rnacentral:ncRNA from 1 species
ACGACGAAACAGGGGUGCUUCGGCACGCGUCUCCCGACUCAUGAGAAGGGGAAAACGCGCGGCGAGGCUGAGAGAGUCCCUUUGCACCCGAUCCGGGUAAUACCGGCGAGGGAAGUUUCCGGAAACCGCCG